rnacentral:pre_miRNA from 1 species
AGUUUUCUGAAUCCGUGUAGAGGUUUCGUCAGACACCAACCCAUUAGGAUUGAUCAGACUUCUAAAAUAAGUAAAGUU